CCGGGUCUCAGCGGUGGUCAGGGGCUAAAAAUGAUCUCUGUAGAUGGGGGGACAAUUCACAUAGACGUUCAAAUAAGUAGGAGGAUGCUUUAAUGAGGAUAAGAUGACCUUCUCCCAAGGCGACGCUGAUGAAGUCGCAUACAGACCCUUCAAGAGGCGGAGCAUCAAUGGAAGCAGCAGAGGAGGUCCAGCUGCCAGUACACCGCUGCCCUUCGGGGGGCGCUGUGACUCUCUUUUUGAGUUUUACACCUUCUGUCGGAGGCUGGAGCUCGCAUUUUCACGAAAAAAAAAAACCCAUGCAAGAACACAAUGUCCUGCAAUAUGACAUGCAAGAAACCUCUGUAACACCUUCUGAUAAAGAGAAUAAAUAAUCUUAAAUGUGAUCAGAAACUAAGAUGUUAC